CCUCCCGGCAACGCCGCCUCCCUCCUGCACCUCUCCGCAGGGCACACGGCCCCCGCUGCCAUGCAGCGGGGACUGGGGACUCCUAAUCCUGGCGGGAUUGUAAAGCUCUGCUGGGCGAAAUUAUUAGGCUACUUUACGCAAUAUUUAGCUUAGAUCUCCCUGGUUGAAAUUUAUGUGUAUUAGUUCCAUCUUCCAAGCUUGCCUGGAGAGAAGAUAAUACUCAAGCAUUGCACUAAAGCAUCAAAGACCUUGCGUAAAUCCCCAUUCUAUAACGAGGGCAGCUAAAAUAUUACAAAGCCAAAUGACAGAGCCGUCAUUAUCACCAGGAGAGCUGGAGCUGCCUUCAACAUCCAUUCCCUGGUCAGAAGCUGCCAACAGGACUAGUACAUACCCUUUGAAAUCAGGAAAGUACAGUGGCAAAGAGUAACACAGCAAUGAGACAAGAGCACACAGGGAUCAGGAUCUGGAUGGAUGCCAAGUUGAUUCCAUCAUGGAAGUCAGGAAAUUGCCACACAGGACUUUGGUGCUCCAUGAUAAGCAAAACACUUACAUUGAGCAACAGCGCUUGACUCUUGUUUCUUAUCUGUGUCACCCCUCCUGCAGCAAGGCCUACCUGAGUGUGCUCAGGACAUGGGGUGGUGGCACUUGAGCUGACCCAAGCGCUAUCGCCACGGGGGUGGCUUCCCAACCAAGGCUUAUCUGUAGCCACAGGCUGCUGCUUGUCUCUUGGGCAUUCCCAUAGUGAUAUAAACAGCCGGUUUGGUGAUACAGCUGAAAAUCAUCCUUUCCCUUUAGAACAGGAAAAAAAAAACCUUCUCAUCUUAAACAAGAACUUGGGGCCUUGUCCUUUCCAAGCUGUCCCAGAGCAGCUGGGGGCUCACAGGACAGGAAUUCAGUGUGACUGCAGAGGAGUCUCAGAAGACAUCACAGUGUUCCAGUCCACCCCCUCCUCUUCUUGUUUUAACUCUGCAUUCAGGCACUUUGGGAGAGAACAGAACAAACCCAGCUCUGCAUGGGCACUGUCAUUUGUUACGUCUGGGUCUUCGAUCACCAGGCACAUGAAUUUUACAGACAGGCAACCAAAACGCACUGGGUAUUUUCCUGUAAACUCCUAACUGCAGCCAGCUGAUGUCCUCUGGGUAUCAUGUCCAUGAACAUCCAUGUCCAUGGUGUUCUUCCAUCAAGGCAGUGCCGCAUGAGCAGCUCCCGGGAGCACCACGUUUUACUGCGGAAAUGUGAAAUUGUUUUGUGGGGGAAGGGAUGGAAGAACGAGCGAGGCGUUGAUUUGCUCAGAAAGAGAAGAAAUUCUUCAAGGUAAAUCACUUCGGUCUAGACGAACGCUUCAUCCAGUUUAAAACAAAUCUUAUUUUAUCUUUGAAUUCAUGGUUUCAUUUUCUGUCGAAUAUACCAAGGAGAUGCUUGUUAAAUAUUUCCACCUGAGAGCAAGUUCUCACACAGCACCUGUCAUAUUUGCAAUUUGCAAAAUAUAUGACAGCAUUUACACAAAUUUCUCGUUCACAAGAUGAAAUCCCUACAAUUUGUGCUUCAGCCACUAGAAAUCAAGCAAAAACAAUCCCUGGGGGUAAAUGCUGAGUAUUACAUUAAGCAAUAUCAUUUUAUGAAGUCAAAGAAUAAAAUGCCAGUAGGUGCUAACUGUAUUUCAUGGAUUAUAAAAUAUAAUUACAUUCAGAAUUGUAUCUGCCAAUG